rnacentral:rRNA from 1 species
UACGUAGGGUGCGAGCGUGUCCGGAAUUAUUGGGCGUAAAGAGCUCGUAGGCGGUUUGUUGCGUCUAUCGUGAAAACCUGCAGCUUAACUGUGGGCUUGCGGUGGAUACGGGCAGACUUGAGUUCGGUAGGGGAGACUGGAAUUCCUGGUGUAGCGGUGAAAUGCGCAGAUAUCAGGAGGAACACCGGUGGCGAAGGCGGGUCUCUGGGCCGAUACUGACGCUGAGGAGCGAAAGCGUGGGGAGCGAACAGG